UCCAUCAGUACGCUGGGCGAAGCUUCCCUCUGACUUUUCAUGAAGAGCAGGCCUUGCCUCAAGGCUAGGGUUUCGGCGGCGAGGGCGGAUGGAGCGACGAUUUUCUUCGUGAAGCCUCCCAUCAGCCGCCCGAGAUGGUCUCUGCAGAUUCCAGCCACCACUCCUUGCCGCGAUUCACUACACCAUGAUCCAUCGACGUUCAAUUUCCACAAGCCCGACGGAGGUGGUGACCAUCCCUCAAUUGUUAUUACUCCCCGUGAUCGUGGUUUACUGUUCCGGAAAACCUUCGCGUUCCGUUCUUUCUAGAUGAGCCAGAGCACUCCGGCCAGAAUUCCACCCGAUUUUGACCCUACUUGGGAAGUCACACAGAAGGAGGAGAUGUUCGAGCGUUUCAGGAGCGUUCUUACACAUCGGACACAAAUGGAUCGGGUACGAGUCUUCUCUUGUAAAGGUUUUCCUUCGUUGGGAGAGCGUUGUUGCAUACACUCCAUAGGAAGAAGCGAAUUUUCGAGUAGUGCUAAAUCUACCAUAUGCGAGUCCAUAGGUUCUUAGGAGGCUGAUAUGAUGUUGAUGCCAGGUUGGCGUUAAUUUUUUUUGACUGGGAGCACAUUCUGUUGUAGCCACUUUUGACCGAAUAUAAGCUCGUGCUGUUACCUGUCCACACUUGACUGUCCCUAUGUGAAUUGAUGCUUAGCGGGAUGGCGAGGA